UACGUAGGGUGCGAGCGUUGUCCGGAAUUAUUGGGCGUAAAGAGCUCGUAGGCGGUCUGUCACGUCGGCUGUGAAAACCCGAGGCUCAACCUCGGGCCUGCAGUCGAUACGGGCAAACUAGAGUACUGCAGGGGAGACUGGAAUUCCUGGUGUAGCGGUGAAAUGCGCAGAUAUUAGGAGGAACACCGGUGGCGAAGGCGGGUCUCUGGGGCAGUAACUGACGCUGAGGAGCGAAAGCGUGGGGAGCGAACAGG
rnacentral:rRNA from 1 species